rnacentral:rRNA from 1 species
CCUACGGGAGGCAGCAGUGAGGAAUAUUGGUCAAUGGACGAGAGUCUGAACCAGCCAAGUAGCGUGAAGGAUGACUGCCCUAUGGGUUGUAAACUUCUUUUAUAAAGGAAUAAAACGAGGCACGUGUGCCUUUUUGCAUGUACUUCAUGAAUAAGGAUCGGCUAACUCCGUGCCAGCAGCCGCGGUAAUACGGAGGGUCCGUGCGUUAUCCGGAUUUAUUGGGUUUAAAGGGAGCGUAGAUGGGUUGUUAAGUUAGUUGUGAAAGUUUGCGGCUCAACCGUGAAAGUGCAGUUGAUACUGGCAGUCUUGAGGACAGUGGAGGUAGGCGGAAUUCGUGGUGUAGCGGUGAAAUGCUUAGAUAUCACGAAGAACCCCGAUUGCGAAGGCAGCUUACUAAACUGUGACUGACGUUGAUGCUCGAAGGUGUGGGUAUCGAACAGGAUUAGAUACCCGGGUAGUC